CCAGGGACUCUUCCUAAGGCCACUGUCUGUCCCAGCUCUGUGAGGUGGGCACAGAUGGUCUGCUGGCCACAUCGCUGGACGCCGCCUGUGACGUUGCCUGCUUGAUGUUUGAUGGCAGUGACCCAAAGUCCUUUGCACAUUGUGCCAGCGUCUACAAGCACCAUUACAUGGACGGGCAGACCCCCUGCCUCUUCGUCUCCUCCAAGGCCGACCUGCCCGAAGGUGUCGCGGUGUCUGGCCCAUCGCCAGCCGAGUUUUGCCGCAAGCACCGGCUACCCGCUCCCAUGCCGUUCUCCUGUGCUGGCCCAGCCGAGCCCAGCACCACCGUCUUCACCCAGCUCGCCACCAUGGCCGCCUUCCCACAUUUGGUCCACGCAGAGCUGCAUCCCUCUUCCUUCUGGCUCCGGGGGCUGCUGGGGGUUGUCGGGGCCGCUGUGGCCGCAGUCCUCAGCUUCUCACUCUACAGGGUCCUGGUGAAGAGCCAGUGAGGCCCCUGGUACCCAAGCCCCUCUCCUGACCUGGGUGUGGCUCGCUGCUGAGGCUCUGCAGGGGCAGCACAGCUGGGGUGCCGGCCAGGCUGCCAUUCCGGGAACGCCUUUGCGCCAGGACUUUUUGUUUCUGAAGGCAGUCGAUCUGCAGCGGGGCCUCAUGCUGCCAUGCACUGCCCUGGCUCCUGCCGGACCCCCAGGGUGGGCUGUGGCAGGUGGCUGAGCAGGAGCUCCCAGGUGCCGGCCACCGCUGUCAGGGAUUGCCCACCGCUGGGCAUCGUGUGUUGGGCUGGGGAGCACAGGUGUGGGAGCUGGUGACCCCAGACCCAGAAUUCUCAGGGCUCUACCCCCUUUCCUGGUCC
rnacentral:sRNA from 1 species